UAGGGAAUCUUCGGCAAUGGACGGAAGUCUGACCGAGCAACGCCGCGUGAGUGAAGAAGGUUUUCGGAUCGUAAAGCCCUGUUGUUAGAGAAGAACGUUGGUAGGAGUGGAAAAUCUACCAAGUGACGGUAACUAACCAGAAAGGGACGGCUAACUACGUGCCAGCAGCCGCGGUAAUACGUAGGUCCCGAGCGUUGUCCGGAUUUAUUGGGGGUAAAGCGAGCGCAGGCGGUUCUGUAAGUCUGAAGUUAAAGGCAGUGGCUUAACCAUUGUACGCUUUGGAAACUGGAGGACUUAAGUGCAGAAGGGGAGAGUGGAAUUCCAUGUGUGGCGGUGAAAUGCGUAGAUAUAUGGAGGAACACCGGUGGCGAAAGCGGCUCUCUGGUCUGUAACUGACGCUGAGGCUCGAAAGCGUGGGGAGCAAACAGG
rnacentral:rRNA from 1 species